rnacentral:rRNA from 1 species
GAUGAACGCUGGCGGCGUGCCUAAUACAUGCAAGUCGAGCGAACGGACGAGAAGCUUGCUUCUCUGAUGUUAGCGGCGGACGGGUGAGUAACACGUGGAUAACCUACCUAUAAGACUGGGAUAACUUCGGGAAACCGGAGCUAAUACCGGAUAAUAUUUUGAACCGCAUGGUUCAAAAGUGAAAGACGGUCUUGCUGUCACUUAUAGAUGGAUCCGCGCUGCAUUAGCUAGUUGGUAAGGUAACGGCUUACCAAGGCAACGAUGCAUAGCCGACCUGAGAGGGUGAUCCGCCAAACUGGAACUGAAACACGGGCCAGACUCCUAAGGGAGGCAGCAGUAGGGAAUCUUCCGCAAUGGGCGAAAGCCUGACGGAGGAAAGCCGCGUGAGGGAUGAAGGUCUUCGGAUCGUAAAACUCUGUUAUUAGGGAAGAACAUAUGUGGAAGUAACUGUGCAAAGCUUGACGGUACCUAAUCAGAAAGCCACGGCUAAAUACGUG